CUUAAGACUUAUGGCCAAGCACCAUAUACGAACAGUAUCAAGGCUGUGGAAGAAGAUAUACAAGCAAUAAUCAAGCGAGUGAAUGAACUAACAGGCAUCAAGGAAUCUGAUACUGGUUUAGCUCCACCAGCUCUAUGGGACCUCCCAGCUGAUAAGCAAACCCUGCAGAAUGAGCAACCGUUGCAGGUUGCACGUUGUACUAAAAUUAUUAACGCAAACUCAGAUGAUCCAAAGUACAUCAUAAAUGUGAAACAGUUCGCAAAAUUUGUCGUCGAUUUGGCUGACACCGUAGCUCCUACUGACAUCGAAGAGGGCAUGAGGGUAGGAG